UACGAAGGGGGGCUAGCGUUGCUCGGAAUCACUGGGCGUAAAGCGCACGUAGGCGGCUUCUUAAGUCAGGGGUGAAAUCCUGGAGCUCAACUCCAGAACUGCCUUUGAUACUGAGGAGCUUGAGUCCGGGAGAGGUGAGUGGAACUGCGAGUGUAGAGGUGAAAUUCGUAGAUAUUCGCAAGAACACCAGUGGCGAAGGCG
rnacentral:rRNA from 1 species